CGCUGGCGGCGUGCCUAAUACAUGCAAGUCGAACGGUCUUUCUAUGGAAGCUUGCUUCCACUGAGAAGAUAGUGGCGAACGGGUGAGUAACACGUGGGUAACCUGCCCAUAAGAGGGGGGAUAACAUCCGGAAACGGGUGCUAAUACCGCAUAGUUUUCUUGAUCGCAUGAUUGAGAAAGGAAAGACGGCCUUUGUGCUGUCGCUUAUGGAUGGACCCGCGGCGUAUUAGUUAGUUGGUGAGGUAAUGGCUCACCAAGACGAUGAUACGUAGCCGACCUGAGAGGGUGAUCGGCCACAUUGGGACUGAGACACGGCCCAAACUCCUACGGGAGGCAGCAGUAGGGAAUCUUCCGCAAUGGACGAAAGUCUGACGGAGCAACGCCGCGUGAGUGAAAGAAGGUUUUCGGAUCGUAAAACUCUGUUGUCAGAGAAGAACAAGUUGGAGAGUAACUGCUCCAGCCUUGACGGUAUCCGACCAGAAAGCCACGGCUAACUACGUGCCAGCAGCCGC
rnacentral:rRNA from 1 species